rnacentral:rRNA from 1 species
AUUGAACGCUGGCGGCAGGCCUAACACAUGCAAGUCGAGCGAGCGGCGGGCGGGUGAGUCCUAUCUGUCAACCUGCUUGUGGGGGGGGGAUAACUACUGGGAACGCUAGCUAAUACCGCAUCCCAUUAGGUCUGGGCCGGUGGGAUUAGCUAGUAGGUGGGGUAAUGGCUCACCUAGGCGACGGUCCCUAGCUGGUCUGAGAGGAUGACCAGCCAAACUGGAACUGAGACACGGUCCAGACUCCUACGGGAGGCAGCAGUGGGGAAUAUUGGACAAUGGGCGAAAGCCUGAUGCAGCCAUGCCGCGUGUGUGAAGAAGGCCUUCGGGUUGUAAAGCACUUUCAGCGGGGAGGCGUUACCAGCAGAAGAAGCACCGGCUAACUCCGUGCCAGCAGCCGCGGUAAUAC